rnacentral:misc_RNA from 1 species
GAUGAAGAACGCAGCGAAAUGCGAUAAGUAAUGUGAAUUGCAGAAUUCAGUGAAUCAUCGAAUCUUUGAACGCACCUUGCGCCCUUUGGCUAUUCCGAAGGGCAUGCCUGUUUGAGUAUCAUGAAAACCUCAACUCUCAUGGCUUGCCAUGAUGAGCUUGGACUCUGGGGGUCUUGCUGGCUUUACGGUCAGCUCCUCUCAAAUAAAUCAGCUUGCCGGUGUUUGGUGGGAUCACAGGUGUGAUAACUAUCUACGCUUGUGGUUUUCCGCCAGGUAACCUUCAGCAAUGGAGGUUCGCUGGAACUCAUAAAUGUCUCUCCUCAGCGAGGACAGAUUUUGACCGUUUGAUCUCAAAUCAGGUAGGACUACCCGCUGAACUUAAGCAUAUCAAUAAGCGGAGGA